UACGGAGGGUGCAAGCGUUAUCCGGAAUCACUGGGUUUAAAGGGUGCGUAGGCGGUCUUAUAAGUCAAUGGUGAAAGACGGCAGCUUAACUGUCGCAGUGCCAUUGAUACUGUAGGACUUGAAUUAGGAUGAGGCUGGCGGAAUGUGACAUGUAGCGGUGAAAUGCAUAGAUAUGUCAUAGAACACCAAUUGCGAAGGCAGCUGGCUAGACCUAUAUUGACGCUGAGGCACGAAAGCGUGGGGAUCGAACAGG
rnacentral:rRNA from 1 species